GAUUCUGGCUCAGGAUGAACGCUAGCUACAGGCUAACACAUGCAAGUCGAGGGCAGCAUUGGGGUAGCAAUACUUGGUGGCGACCGGCGCACGGGUGAGUAACGCGUAUGCAACCUACCUAUCAGAGGGGAAUAACCCGGCGAAAGUCGGACUAAUACCGCAUAAAACAGGGGCACCGCAUGGUGAUAUUUGUUAAAGAAAUUCGCUGAUAGAUGGGCAUGCGUUCCAUUAGGUAGUUGGUGAGGUAACGGCUCACCAAGCCGACGAUGGAUAGGGGAACUGAGAGGUUGGUCCCCCACACUGGUACUGAGACACGGACCAGACUCCUACGGGAGGCAGCAGUGAGGAAUAUUGGUCAAUGGGCGGGAGCCUGAACCAGCCAAGUCGCGUGAAGGAAGAAGGAUCUAUGGUUCGUAAACUUCUUUUGCAGGGGAAUAAAGUGCAGGACGUGUCCUGUUUUGUAUGUACCCUGAGAAUAAGGAUCGGCUAACUCCGUGCCAGCCGCUGC
rnacentral:rRNA from 1 species